UAUCUUAGUGGCGGACGGGUGAGUAACGCGUAUCCAACCUGCCCUUUACUAUGGGACAGCCCGUCGAAAGGCGGAUUAAUACCGUAUGUUGUCAUGUUGAUGCAUAUUUUCAUGACCAAAGGCUUCGGCCGGUAAAGGAUGGGGAUGCGUCUGAUUAGCUUGCCGGCGGGGUAACGGCCCACCGGGGCGACGAUCAGUAGGGGUUCCGAGAGGAAGGUCCCCCACAUUGGAACUGAGACACGGUCCAAACUCCUACGGGAGGCAGCAG
rnacentral:rRNA from 1 species